rnacentral:rRNA from 1 species
CCCAGGACGGAAUUUGGUUAUUUACUAAAAUCUCCUUUUGGUGGAGAAGGGUGGAUUGUUAGUGUAGAUGAUUUAGAAGAUAUAAUUGGUGGGCAUGUAUGGUUGGGUUUUAUUUGUGUAUUUGGCGGAAUUUGGCAUAUUUUAACCAAACCCUUCGCAUGGGCUCGCCGUGCAUUUGUAUGGUCUGGGGCUAAGGGUCAAAUUGGUAAUUUUUCUUACAUCUCCCCCCCCCCCCAGGGGCCCAGGUAUCAUAUACACCGCCAAAAUAAAGAGCCUUGA